AGCGACAUCCGCCGCCGGCGGGAAGGGGCCGGCGCGGGGCCGGUGUUGGCGCCGCGCUCCCGCCGCCGUCUCGCUGCCGGGGGCCGCGGGCCCCGCCGCCGGCCGCAGGAUGCCGCUGGGGCUGAAGCCCACCUGCAGCGUGUGCCGCAGCACGUCCUCCUCCAUGUGGAAGAAGGGUGGCCAGGGCGAGAUCCUGUGUAACAACUGCACCGCCCGCUCCGCGCCGCCCGGGCCCGCCGCCUUCGCCACCACUUCGGCUGCCGCCCAGCACAGCAACGGCGGCGGCGGCGGGAAGCAGAGCAAGCAGGAGAUCCACCGGCGCUCCGCCCGGCUGCGGAACACCAAGUACAAGUCGGCGCCCGCCGCGGAGAAGAAGGUCUCCACGAAGGGCAAGGGGAGGAGGCACAUCUUUAAGUUAAAAAACCCCAUCAAGGCUCCCGAGUCUGUAUCCACUAUAAUUACAGCAGAAUCAAUCUUUUAUAAGGGGGUAUACUAUCAAAUUGGAGAUGUUGUUUCAGUGGUCGACGAGCAGGAUGGAAAAACAUACUACGCUCAGAUACGUGGGUUUAUUCAGGACCAAUACUGUGAAAAGAGUGCUGCGCUAACCUGGCUCAUUCCUACACAAGCCAGUCCCAAAGAUUGUUUUGAUCCAGCAUCCUAUAUCAUAGGACCAGAAGAAGAUCUUCCAAGGAAAAUGGAAUAUUUAGAAUUUGUUUGUCAUGCACCUUCGGAAUAUUUCAAAUCUCGAUCAUCUCCCUUCCCUACUGUUCCUACAAGACCAGAGAAGGGCUAUAUAUGGACUCAUGUGGGACCUACUCCUGCAAUCUCCAUUAAAGAAACUGUUACCAACAAUUUAUAAUUUUUUUAAAGGAAUACUUUGGACGAGUUAUUUUGGGUGUAUUCUCAGAUCUUUGAAGUGGAAGGUUUCUUUCCAUUUGAUGCGUCAUUUCCGUGCUCUGUUCUUCAGGCAUUAUUGCUUAUUUUGGGACAAACCCACAAGUUUCAUGUCAUCUUCCAACUCUGAACAUCAGCCAGUAACAUGGGAAGGAUGACUGACGAGCUUCUUACAGACACAGGUGAAAGAACAGGACCUCAGAGAGCAAUGUCUCUGUGAAAAUUCCUCGUAUUAGGAAGAGCAAAAGGAAGACCUGCAAAAUGGACUCUACAGCAGAAGCGAUAUUAUAGGAUCACAUGGGGAAAAGCUUUGAUGCCCUGCAGCUGAAGGAGCUGAGCUCACCCAUUCUCUCUUUUCUUGUUCGGUAUCUCCCAUGCCAAAAUUUAGGUACGUUUCAUUCUUGCAUCAUUGGACUGUGAGUGGAUAUACUACUGGUGAAUUUAUGGCCAUGUGUUAAGCUUCAGAGUUUGAUGACCCGCCAACAGACAUUCCCGUUAAGCAAUUUUAGAUCUAAAGAUGGACUGUGGAGCUAAGAGCUGGAAGAGUAUAUAUAAUAUACUGAGUAAGGUACAGAAUAUGCAGGAUGCGCCCUGAUACAUACAUUGCAGUUCCAUCUCCUGCAGGAAGAAAAUACCCUUUUUGUAGUUGUAGAAAACAAAAUCCAAAAACAUUUGCCUUGCAGAACAGGAAAAAGUUUCCACGACAGAAAUAACACAGACUUUUUUUAAAACUACUUCUAGAGGAGAAUUUUCACUUUUGUGUCUUUGUAAGAGAAAUAAUAAAAGAGCUUGAAAAGGAAAAAUCAUGGACUUAAGCAAUGUACUUGCUUCUCAAGGUGUAAGAGGCACUCAAUGAAGUCGUUUGGUUGGCAAUUGUACGCAGGUUAAUAAUAGCAAUACUCAUCCAAAUAAAAAUAAAGAAGCAAACAAAACUUUUCUAGUGACUGAUAGCUCAACUAAACAUAGGAAAUAAAAAGUAACAGCUUUAUUUGCUGAAAACAAAGCAUUCGGAUUUCAUAUAUGUGAAGACUGCCUAUUAAAUACUCAAUAUUUUUUCAGCAUAUUUUUAUAUUAUUGAAAUGGAGUCUUCGUUAUGAAAAGCCAUACUCAUUGAAAUGGAAAAAUGACUCGCUUCAGAUGCAUACAUGCAAAUAAUUUUUUCUCAGGUAGUUGUCUGUCAUAUAUUUGUAGGCACUGGGUCUGUAGUAAAUUUUUUACCUCUAAAUUGCCUGAGUGAGUAUUGUUGAAGAUGUGGAGAUUUGUAUUUGAAGGCUGGAUCAAGGGGAAAAAUACAAGGGCUGUAUUUUCUAGAACUGAAUUUAUUCAAUUUUCCAGGUUUUAAUAAUUUAUGCCUAGAAACUUUUUGAUAAGCACUGUAGUGGCAUACCCAUGGGGUUUACAUUCUAACAAAGGCUUUUUAAUUCUGCUGCUUUGUUGGGGUGUCUGCAUCUCCUUCCAACGCCUGAACGUGAGGACCAGAGCUACCUGGGCCAGUACAGACAGCCUUGGGUGGGCAGGAUCUGAGCCCAUUACAGAGUAGAAGCCAGACUUGGGACCCAGUUAACAGAUCUGGCCUUAGACCAACUUUUUUCCCUUCCCUCCAUGCCCAAGAGCCCCUAGCUGUUCGGUUUUCUUCCUCAACACUUUGCACCUCACCAAGCACAGCAACACACGCUGACUGAACAUGUGAGCCCUGAACUUGCAGAGAAGCUACAAUGGUUGCAUUUGGUGCUAUAGACCAACACUGACCAUUUCAACCUGAAGAACGGGCUGAGAGACAAUGAAAAGCCUAACAAUCAGUAAGUGGAACUUUGCGGUUUUCAACACACAGGGUAAGUGUAUAUAUAUAUAUACACACUUUUUUUUUUUUUUUUUUUUUUACUAUCCUCACGUUGCAAUUCCAGCCUUCAAGGAAGAAAAAGCAGUAUGGAAGAUGUGAAUAGAAAGUGUUAAGAAAUUAGAUUAGAUUUCCUUCUCAUGCCACCAAGACAACCAGAAGAUGUAGGAAAAGUAGCAAAAUACUAACCCGGUUCACUCCAGCAGAGGUCCCAAGUGGUACUGUUAACAGCGUCUUGGUUUGUAACACUUAUCUGAACAAGCGGUUUGCAUCAUUUCCGUGUACUUUGGAAGUGAAAGCCAGCAAUAGUACUCCAGCUGCUUUAAUACCCUUGUCCUAGGAAAAGCGCAAGCAGUAGUUACAAGACUGCAAAAUACACAUUUCAGCAUGCACCUUGAGCACAACAGGAUUGCCAAAGUGUGAAUGAAGAAAAAUGUCCCCCUGCUUGUGCUCAGUGCUGUUCCCCUUGGCUUUCUUUGCAUACUCUUCAAACCCAGGUUUCUUUACAUCCACAGCUCCCAGAGGGCCAAGAACACAAGGUGAUGAAUUGUCAAAGAUGACUGAUGAACAGUGACAAGCAACGGUGCUGAACAGUAAGUUUUAUACUGGUGAUGGUAUACAGGAUGAUUUAUGCUGCCUAGAUUUCAAAAGUCUGUGUCUGUGAUCAUCUCUGAUGCUUUCUGGAGCCUGUGUGCUGAAGAUGAGGCUUACGCAAAGAGGGUGACUUUUCCCUUCCUUCCACAUUGGAAAUGUAUAUUUAAUAGAUGUUGUGAAUAGUCUUAUUUCCCCUACAUCGCUGAAAAAGCAAGUAAAAGGAAACCAGCAAUUGCCUACUUAAGGAAGGUGGGCAUUCACUGCUGAUGUUAACAUCUCCACUAGCAAAUAUGGAUGGUUUGUAUGUCACACAAACCUGCAAAAGGACACGAAACUUUCCCAGGAGCCGCUAAUGUGCUGUGCCUGAGGCAAGGCAGUCAUUGCAGCAGCCCAUACUGCUCAAUGCAUCCAAAGCAAGCAGGCUCCUGUUGCAUUUAGGGUGUAGCCCUUCUUAUUUACAUUUUUUUAACCUGUUAGCCUAAUCUGCCAACUACUUGGAAAUUGAAGCCAAUUUCCAAAAUUGUGGGAAUCUGCAUACAGAAUUUUCCAGUUACCUCUCCUGAAGGCAUCAUGACAUAGCAGAGUGAAAAUGUUAUUUAGCUGGUUUACAGAGGAACAGCUUUAUUUAUUUUUUUUUCUCAUGUCCUGCACAUGGAGGUGGAAUCCCAGGAGAUCUUCACUUGCUGUUUUUCCACCAGGAUCUUACUGAUACUGAUCCUUCGCACUAGUCAUCGUUCUGCACUGGGUGUUUUGUCCAUGUGUUUCCCAUCUUCUGAAAUAUCACAAAACAAUUAGUGACUAGUAACUUCAAAACAAGAAUUGACUGUAGGAAGUAUAAUGAAUGGCCAAGGGAAAGCUUUGUCAUUCUUUCUCGAGAAACAAGGUCUUUACCUAUGAAAUCUUGAUCUCUGUGCACCUAUUGGUUCAGAGCUGGAUGCAUAAACUAGCUGUAAAGUCUGACUGCACAAACUAGUCAUGGCAUUAAGGAUUUAAAUAUUACAUACACGUUCAACAGAACAUCAUCAAACGUUAUAAGCAAAUAUCAGGUAGCAAAGCUUACUGAAAAACUUACCCAUGUUCAUCCCCUGCAUACAACCAAUAGUGGGAUGGUUGUACAGUGUGUAAGGAAGCCUUUUGUGUCAAGAAGAUCAAUAGUUUUUCAUGGUGCUGAUCUUACUAACUUCUGGUUCAAUCUUCCUGCUUUCUUAGUUCUUUUGUUUCUAAACUGCUUAGUAACAGACCACUGCUAGGCAAGAUAAAAGAUUCGUCCCCUUUUCAAACAAACUGUGGAGGAAAUGGAAGCGGAUGCUGCAUUUGUCGUUGGCCAAAACAAAACCGAAUCAAACUACUUCAUACCUGCAGAGUUUGCAGAGCCUGUCUGUGGCUUAAUUGCUCCCUCUGUCAGGUACAUGGAAAUGGUAUGCUGAAACUUUAACAUAUCCAUGUAAGGCUAUAGAUAGAAACACAUACUGUGGGAUAAUGACAGGAACGUACAUUGUGACAUGCUUCCUCCAUAGGCUUUCAAGUCAAGCUUAACCUGUUCAUAAGGACCUACAGCCCACCCUGAGUAAGUUGAGACUGUCAAAAAAGGAACUGACAAGUUCACUGUAGCUUUUAGUGACCAACAUUUUUGACCAACCCACUACAGUACUUUGAGGUAGAAACAGUGCCUCUUGUAGAAAAUUAGUGUAACAAAACUCAGUGCAAGAUCUGGGGAAAAUCUGUUUAACAACUCUCUUAACAAACUGGUUUUACACACUCACAUUAAUGCCAUGAAGGAAUGCCACGUGAUAGGCUGGCUUGUUGCCGUCCUCCCCUCGUAGAAGUGCAGGGCCCUCUGCAGAAGCUGUCCAUGCCACGGUCUUGUCAGCGUGCGACCAUCAAGGCUUGCCCCGCUCCCUGGCCAGACUGCCUGGGCGCAGCUUCCAUCGCUAUUGAUGCAGACCAUGCCUUUCACUCCUGUUCUGCUGUUUCCGCUGGUGCUGGCACCCCGCCACCCACAGCAACCCCCACUUCUCUGUUACAGAGCUCUACAUUCUUUCUUCCCCCAAUGCUCAGAAGCAGAGUUUCAGAGUAACAUAGGAACAGAUGUACCAGGGCAAACCUAAACUCUGCAUAGUAGCCCACCUCCAAUAACGGCCAAAUUCCAGCUUCUAAUGCCUCACAGACUGGUAUUGAGAUCCAGGCAAUCACCAUAUUACUUGCUGAAACACAUUUCAGAGAUGCGUGUUUAGGACUCCUCAGUAGAAUGAACUGACUUUUCCAGCUCUGCUGUAUCCUUUUUGGUGCAGAAGGACCUAAACUGCACGUAACCUUCAACAGCACACAGGCAGGAACACCACGGAUUUUUAUAUUAUGACAGAACACUUUCUGAAGUCUUUUCUAUUUCUUCUCUAAGAAUUUCUAACAUUCAAAUUCUUCUUAACAACAAGCUGGUGUUUCAUGGGGGAUCAUUACUGAAGAGCAAUGGUCAUUAGACCCUACCAUGGUGCUUUUCCUUUCCCUUUAUCUACAGUAAAGUGCCUCUAAGUGCAGUCAGCACAUUUUGUGAAGGGCUGUAGUGCUUUAUGGCCAACCUUUGCUUUCACAGGCCUGAGAAGGUUACUCAUCAGGGUUUUUUGCUGUUGGUGGUUUCACCCUUCGCUCUCCCUGUCAAGAUCAGGCGAGUCCAUUAAACACCACAGGCCUCUACACAGCACCAGUGUGACACCCCUGGAGUACUGGGCCCCAGUGUUCUGGGCUCUCCAAUACAAGACAGACACGGACAUACUGGAACAAGUAAAGGCAAAGGACCUCAACAACGAUUACGGGACUGCAACACCUGAAAUACAAGGAGCGGGGGAAAGCUGACACUGCUCAGCCUGGAACAGGGAAGGCUCAGGGGGAAGAAGAUGAGCCAGACUCUUCUGGGUAUCCAGUGACAGGACAAAAGGAAAUGGGCACAAAAUGAGAAACACAAAACCUGUUCAAACGUAAGAAAAAACUUUUUAGUAAAAAAGAGAGUGAGUGAGCUCUAGAACAAGCUGCUGAGAGAGGCUGUGGGGUCUCCAUCCUUGGAGAUACUCAAAACCCAACCAGACCCAUCCUAGUCAGUCUGCUCUGGCUGACUCUGCUCCACGCAACAGCGUUAGACCAUACAGUCUCCAGAGGUGCCUUCCAGCCUCAACUACUCUAUGAUUCUAUGAGCUUUAAAAAGUGCUGUACCGCAGAUUAUUUAUGUUAUCAGCCUGAACAGUGCAAGGCUGCCAAGUUUAAAAGCUACAAAAAACAGGUCAAAGGCCGUAUUACCAUCAGGAGCUCAAAUUCCAGGUUUAUUAGGGAGCCACAGCGCAACAAUCCUCCUACCGAGCCUCUACAGCAGCAGUCUGUUAAUGCUGCAGUUCUAGUUUUCUCUCACCGAACCUAAACAAGGGAGCAAAUAGUGAAUUAAUUCUACAAAUACUUUUAGAAAAACCCCAACCAAUCAAAAA